UACGUAGGGAGCAAGCGUUGUCCGGAAUCAUUGGGCGUAAAGCGCGCGUAGGCGGCCCUGUAAGUCCGUUGUGAAAGUCAAAGGCUCAACCUUUGAAAGCCGAUGGAUACUGCAGGGCUAGAGUCCGGGAAGAGGCGAGUGGAAUUCCUGGUGUAGCGGUGGAAUGCGCAGAUAUCAGGAGGAACACCAAUAGCGAAGGCAGCUCGCUGGGACGGUACUGACGCUAAGGCGCGAAACGUGGGGACGAACAGGAU
rnacentral:rRNA from 1 species